rnacentral:tRNA from 1 species
AAUUAUUUAGCUUAUCAAAGUUUAUGACUUGAAUUCAUAAGAAAGAAGUAAAUUCUUCUAAUAAUUU